AUUGAACGCUGGCGGCAUGCCUUACACAUGCAAGUCGAACGGCAGCACGGGUGCUUGCACCUGGUGGCGAGUGGCGAACGGGUGAGUAAUACAUCGGAACAUGUCCUGUAGUGGGGGAUAGCCCGGCGAAAGCCGGAUUAAUACCGCAUACGAUCUACGGAUGAAAGCGGGGGACCUUCGGGCCUCGCGCUAUAGGGUUGGCCGAUGGCUGAUUAGCUAGUUGGUGGGGUAAAGGCCUACCAAGGCGACGAUCAGUAGCUGGUCUGAGAGGACGACCAGCCACACUGGUACUGAGACACGGCCCAGACUCCUACGGGAGGCAGCAGUGGGGAAUUUUGGACAAUGGGCGAAAGCCUGAUCCAGCAAUGCCGCGUGUGUGAAGAAGGCCUUCGGGUUGUAAAGCACUUUUGUCCGGAAAGAAAUCCUUGGCCCUAAUACGGUCGGGGGAUGACGGUACCGGAAGAAUAAGCACCGGCUAACUACGUG
rnacentral:rRNA from 1 species